rnacentral:lncRNA from 1 species
UCAGGCCCAGAGAGGAGGCUAAAACCCAGGAGUCGGCAACAGAGUAAAGAAGGAACAUUGGCACUAGUUAGAAGCGUGGAAAAUUAAAUACCGGUUUAAAGGCAGUUGGUACAUUGGGCCUCUUAGGAAGUAAAGAAGAUACAUCUCACAACCUUUGUUUGAGAUGAAUGAAUUCUCAAGCUGCUCAAUUUCAAUGAGCUGAAAGAUACAUUAUUUGUGGAAUAUGUUUAAGAAUUCCUAAGGGUGCAAGAUCAACAAGAACUGGCAUAAUUUAUUAUAUUCCAGCUGACAGAGUGAAGAAUAAAGACAAUUCUGUGUAAGGGUCACAUGAAAAAGGAAGUCAAGUGUAAAAGAAAUCGGAUCUUAUUUUUUCCUGAUCUCUAGCCAAACAUUCAGUUAAGAGGUGAACUUUUCUUCCAGCAAAGAAAUGUUGCUUGCCAGGAAUGUGGAGCGAGGACAUUAAAGUUCACAGAGAUUACGUGCUUUAACCAACCUGGGGCCAUAUCAUGAGAUGUAAAACCCGCUGGCAGCUAUUUAAAGAAAGGAAGAAUGGGAAAGGAAAAUACCAGGAAGCCCAACAGAGGUGAGAUUUAAAGAAGAGAUCAUGGAUUUCCAGGAGAAAAGCCACCAUAAACUACAACAAAUAAUAUCCUGGCACAUUGCUGGAGAUCCUGAAACACCUUCUCAGAAGUGGACCUGGGAAAACACGGUCUAAAAGAAAUCACGGAAUGGUUCCUUCCAAUUCUAAAGGCCUAUAAUUUUCCAAGGAAGAUCCAGUGGACAUCCUAAAUGCAGAUUAUAUUACAAGGCAAAUAUUUAGACAUGACCUUUUAAAAUCAUUAUGACUACUCAAACACGUCUUACUUUUCUUCCAAAAUAAAAAGUUCUUUUCUUGGAACUGUCUGCA